rnacentral:rRNA from 1 species
AUGGCUACCGUAUCAGCAGUCAGUGUUGUAGGAUGGGUUGUUUCUCCUAUUAUUAGAAGGAUGGUUUCUUUGGUGCAGUCCUAUAUGUCAAGCCAGUACAAUUGGAAAUCUGGGAUAUUAUCUGAUCUCAAGAAUUUGGAGGCCACUUUAAUGGAUAUACUCCUUGUAGUUGGAGCAGCAGAAAGGCAACAUGUAGUGGACAGAAAUCAGAUAUUGUUACUGCAGCAGAUGAAAGAUGCAGUCUCUGAUGCAGAAGAUGUUUUGGAUGAGUUUGAUCAUAUGCUUUUAAAAGAGAAGGUUGAGCAAAAAGGCCUUCUCAGACGCAUAGGCUCCUCUUCUCUUUCUGUUGGUAAGCGUCUGGUCAACAUUGACAACUUCAGGUCAAAUUUGCGGAAGGUCCUCAAAAGCUUGGAAAGGGUUAGAGCUUCUGCAGAAACGUUUGUCCGAGUGAUGGCAUUGCAGGGCUUUAACCCCAUUCAGUCCGUACAAUGUGUCCCAGUAAGAACCACUGGAUCCCUUUUGCAUGAAGAUGCGAUUUUUGGGCGAGAAAAGGAGAUAGAUGAGCUCGUGGGUCAGCUGCUGUAUAAAUCCGAUAAAUGUUUGUCAAAUGCUUAUCAGUCGGUCAGGACAGAGGUGCACACUAUUGUUGGUGUUGGGGGCAUCGGGAAGACUACUCUGGCUCAGCUGAUCUAUAAUGAUGAGCGCAUCCUGGAUUCUUUUGACGUGAGAAUGUGGGUUAGUGUUUCCAACAACUUUGACAAAAUUAGAAUUACCAAAGAGAUCAUAUCAUACCCAACCGAUAGUGAGAAUGCUGAAUUGACUAAUUUUAAUUUCAGUAAGCUCCAGGACGAACUUAGAUGGAGACUUCGUUCCAAGAGGUUUCUCUUAGUGUUGGAUGAUGUGUGGUAUGAUGAGAAAUAUGGAGAGCACAUCAACAAACAAAUGUGGAUGGAAAUAAUGGCUCCUAUUAAGGAAAGGUUUACAAGGCCAGGAAGCAUGAUUCUAGUGACAACCCGAACAGAAUUGGUUGCAAAAAUGCUGGACUCUAGAAGCUUGUUCAUUUUAGAAGGUCUGGGAAGGGAUGAUAGUUGGUUGCUAUUCAGGCGAUGUGCAUUUGGCAGCAGGAAGCCAGAAGGUUAUCCAGAGUUGAAGCAGUUAGGCUACCAAAUUGUUCAAAAACUUAAAGGCUCACCUCUAGCCCUAAAGGUUGUUGGAGGUCAUUUAAAUGGAAAAUACAGUGAUGCAGAGUGGGAGGAUGUUCUUCAAAGAGAUGUCCUCAAUCCAAAUGAUAUCUUGACUAUCUUAUACUUGAGUUAUGAAAGUUUGCCGGAACACCUCCAGCAGUGCUUUGCAUAUUGUAGUUUAUUCCCAAAGGGUUACCGUAUUGAUUCAAAGAGAUUGAUCUGGAUGUGGAUAGCUCAGGGCCUUGUUCAUCUAGAAGGAAAUAACAGUAGAAAUUUGGAAGAUAUUGGAAGGGGCUAUUUCAAUGAUCUGUUAGCUCGAUCAUUUUUCCAAGUGCUUCGUUGUGGAGAUCAAACAUAUUACGUUAUGCAUGAUUCAUUGAAUGGUCUCGCACUUCAUGUUUCCAAUGGGGAAUGCUUCAGGGUUGAUCAUGGCAGUGUUGGGGAGUUUCCUCAUUACAUUAGGCAUUUGUCUGUGUCUGCUGAACGACUGGGAGAUCUUGUGAACUAUGAUGGUCUCCAGAGAUUGCGUACAUUUAUGAUUCUGAAUGAUUCUUGGUUCUGCUCCAAAGUCUGUUUAAGUCAUGAUAUACUCAAUAAACUCAAGAGUGUGCGGGUACUUGAUGUAAGCGGAUGCUGCUUUGGAAGGUUUCCUGAAGCUGUCAAUGAUCUGAUGCACCUGCGUUAUCUAGCCAUUCGACGCACUUAUUACCCACUGCCAACAACAAUCUCCAGACUCAAUCAUCUACAGUCCUUGUUUGUGUUGUAUAAUUCAUGUUACUCUGCGAGGAUAUCUUGCUCAAACAAGUGGAAACAGCGGAAAUAUUGA